rnacentral:rRNA from 1 species
GAUGAACGCUGGCGGCGUGCCUAACACAUGCAAGUCGAACGGAGAUUACGGACGGAAGUUUUCGGAUGGAAGACGGUAAUUCGUAGUGGCGGACGGGGGAGUAACGCGUGGGCAACCUGCCCUAUACAGGGGGAUAGCAGCUGGAAACGGCUGGUAAGACCGCAUAAGUCGGUUAAAUCGCAUGAUUUGAUCGGGAAAUGAGCAAUCAGGUAUAGGAUGGGCCCGCGUCCGAUGCGCCAGUUGGCAGGGUAAAAGCCUACCAAAGCGACGAUCGCUAGCCGGACUGAGAGGUCGGACGGACACAUUGGGACUGAGCCACGGCCCAAACUCCUACGGGAGGCAGCAGUGGGGGAUAUUGCACAAUGGAGGAAACUCUGAUGCAGCGACGCCGCGUGAGUGAAGAAGUAUUUCGGUAUGUAAAGCUCUAUCAGCAGGGAAGAUGAUGACGGUACCUGACUAAGAAGCCCCGGCUAACUACGUG